GACGAACGCUGGCGGCGUGCUUAACACAUGCAAGUCGAACGAAGAGCGAUGGACGCUUGCUUCUAUCAAUCUUAGUGGCGAACGGGUGAGUAACGCGUAAUCAACCUGCCCUUCAGAGGGGGACAACAGUUGGAAACGACUGCUAAUACCGCAUACGAUCUAAUCUCGGCAUCGAGGAUAGAUGAAAGGUGGCCUCUACAUGUAAGCUAUCACUGAAGGAGGGGAUUGCGUCUGAUUAGCUAGUUGGAGGGGUAACGGCCCACCAAGGCGAUGAUCAGUAGCCGGUCUGAGAGGAUGAACGGCCACAUUGGGACUGAGACACGGCCCAGACUCCUACGGGAGGCAGCAGUGGGGGAUCUUCCGCAAUGGACGAAAGUCUGACGGAGCAACGCCGCGUGAGUGAUGACGGCCUUCGGGUUGUAAAGCUCUGUUAAUCGGGACGAAAGGCCUUCUUGCGAAUAGGGAGAAGGAUUGACGGUACCGGAAUAGAAAGCCACGGCUAACUACGUG
rnacentral:rRNA from 1 species